rnacentral:rRNA from 1 species
UGGGGAAUAUUGCGCAAUGGGGGGAACCCUGACGCAGCCAUGCCGCGUGAAUGAAGAAGGCCUUCGGGUUGUAAAGUUCUUUCGGUAUUGAGGAAGGUUGAUGUGUUAAUAGCACAUCAAAUUGACGUUAAAUACAGAAGAAGCACCGGCUAACUCCGUGCCAGCAGCCGCGGUAAUACGGAGGGUGCGAGCGUUAAUCGGAAUAACUGGGCGUAAAGGGCACGCAGGCGGUUAUUUAAGUGAGGUGUGAAAGCCCCGGGCUUAACCUGGGAAUUGCAUUUCAGACUGGGUAACUAGAGUACUUUAGGGAGGGGUAGAAUUCCACGUGUAGCGGUGAAAUGCGUAGAGAUGUGGAGGAAUACCGAAGGCGAAGGCAGCCCCUUGGGAAUGUACUGACGCUCAUGUGCGAAAGCGUGGGGAGCAAACAGGAUUAGAUACCCUGGUAGUCCACGCUGUAAACGCUGUCGAUUUGGGGGUUGGGGUUUAACUCUGGCGCCCGUAGCUAACGUGAUAAAUCGACCGCCUGGGGAGUACGGCCACAAGGUUA